GCAUUAUCACCACUUCCGGGGGCGCAGGAAAUGCGUGGUCUCCGGGAUGGUCACGGGGUCCCGCGCAGCCAAUCCCCUCGCAGCUAAGUUGCCAGGCAACGCCCUGGCGCCUGCGGGGAGGGCGGGGUCUGGGCGCCUGGAGGAAGCCAGAGCUUUGGCGCAGGCCGCCUGCGCGCUGUGCCAGGAAAGCGCUUGGAGAAAAUGUCCGGCCCCGCGACCUGGGACAGGAAGUGAUGGAGCACGGACUUAGUUUGCCUUUCAGUUCUUGUAUAAAUAGUUUUGAGGGUUGUCUCUGAAUUUUCACUCAGUUGUCUACCAAGAUGUUGAAUGGACCCAGAGCCAAGGACGUGGUCUUUUAUCAGUGGCACCUGAGACUUUCUUCCCUGUGGACGCAAAUCCAUUAUUCAGCACUCUGGGCACAGCUACAGAUCUGAUCAGCUAUCCAUUCUCCAAACUAUCUCAUCCUCUGUCCCAUUUUUCUGUCUCUCUUGUCCACAAGGCAUAUACCUGAGAGUUUUCAAAUUCCUCAGAGAAAUUUAGAUAUUCUGUGGCUUUGGCAUUCACCUAAUGUGUUAAUCUACAAACCUUUUUUACAGUGUGGAUUUUUUUUCAUGAUGUGAAUUCAAGUGGUUUCUAAUGGUCUCUUCAUAAAGUUGUAAACCAAAAGUAAAAUUCUAAGGCCCCACCCCAUCUGAAUGGACCCCUUCUCUGGGCCAGGGCACUCCAAAUUAACCUGAAAACCGUUCAGGCCACGACAUGAAGUGGGGGCGGGUGGGACAUGGCUGACUAUGCCCUCCUCCCUUUUGGAAUUCAGGGAAAGCCAACACAGACCUUAAGUCUAAUGAGAAACACCAUCUAUUCUCUCUGAAGCCUGCUACCCCAAGGCUUCUUCUGCUGAUAAAACUUUGGUCUCCACAACCUCUUAUAACCCAGACAUUCCUUUCUAUUGGUAAUAACUCUCAACUAAUUGCCAAUCAGAACAUUUUUAAAUCUACCUAUAACCCAGAAGCCCCCACUUUGAGUUGUCCUGCCUUUCUGGACUGAACCAAUGUAUAUCUUGAAUAGAUUUGAUUGAUGUCUCACGACCCUCUAAAAUGCAUAAAACCAAGUUGCACCCCAGCCACCUCCUGAGGUCUGUGUCAUGGGCGUGGCCACUCUAUUUGGCUCAGAAUAAAUCUCUUCAAGUAUUUCACAGAGGUUCAGCCUUUUCAUUGACAAAGUAUUCAUAUCACUUGUUGAAGAAUCCUUUCUAGAAUCUUCCACAGCUCUUUGAGCUGUAGUUUCUGAAGUCCAUCUUUAUUCUCCCUCCCAUCACUGGCUCCUGUUUUGUUCUCCAGAACUCUGAAAAUACUAACAACUAUGAUUUUGUGACCCAAUUUGGAAGUUCUUACAGGGAAACCUCAGCAAGAAACAGCUCAGUGCUAGACGCAGUGGCUCAUGUCUAUAAUCCCAGUACUUUGGGAGGCUGAGGUGGGAGGAUCACUUGAGGCCAGAACUUCAAGACUAGCUUGGGCUAUUUUAAAAUUUUUUAAAAGGGGGAGCAUCUCAGUGACUGCAGCAGGCCUCAGCCUCCACUCCCAACAGUUAGUUGGGCUCUACCAACUGUUGGCCGAGUCUCCAACCUGGAGUACCACAGCCAUCAUCACCCAUGGCACCCAGGAGUGCUCCGUCAUGCUUUCCCUUUAGUUCUAGGGGUAGAAAAUGCCUUCAUUCAAGAGAGGACACACUUAAUGAAUGCAACCAGCUAGAAUCCACCCUUUUAAUAUUUAAAUAUAAUCCACCCUUAUAAUAUUUAAAUAUGUGGCUUUGUUUAAUCCUCCCCAUGCCAAGGCACCAUAUCCACAUUUUACUGAAGAGAAAACUAGAGUUCAGAGAAGGUAACUUGCCUAAAGCCAAGCAGGCAGUAAGAGGAGAUUCAAGCCCAGAUCCUUUUGUGCUUUUUCUGCAUCAUCUCAGGGGCAGCAAGGCUGACUCUUGAAAGGGAGGUUAAUUACUAUGAAAUUAAGGUUUAAAGAAAAAACACCCUGGCCAGGCGCGGUGGCUCACAGCUGUAAUUCCAGCACUUUGGGAGGCUGAGGCGGGUGGAUCAAGACCAUCCUGGCUAACAUGGUGAAACCUCGUCUCUACUAAAAAUACAAAAAAUUAGCCAGACGUGGUGGCAGGUGCCUGUAAUCCCAGCUACUUGGGAGGCUGAGGCAGGAGAAUGGCGUGAACCCGGGAGGCGGAGCUUGCAGUGAGCCGAGAUUGCACCAGGCACUCCAGCCUGGGCAACAGAGUGAGACUCCGUCUCAAAAAAAAAAAAAGAAAGAAAAAACACCCUGCGUGCAUACUCAUAUGAAUGUACAAAUGGAUGAGUCUAGAACAAGAGAUACUAGCCUGUUACAUACACAAACUAUGCAGCUGCAGUCCCUGCUGCUUCUACAACCCUGACCUCUAAGAAACCUCUAGCUCUGAAUCCUGUCAGUACCUGGGCUGUGCUGCUUGGGACAACAUUGUCUUCACAAGUCCUCUCCACAUUCUCAGAGGUGGGGGUAUUGCCAAUGAUGGGGGUUGCUGCCUGAGUCCCGUCACCAGGGGACAAAGCUACAGCAGAGACCACCAUCUGCCAACAAAAAGAGAGAUCAUCUCCCACCCCUGGUUCUGCUGACCCAAUCACUGGAAGCAUCAAGGCACCACUAUCUCCUCAUCUGCCUCAGAUUCAAUUUCCUCCUAGCCAGGUCUGUUCUAAGCUCUCCAGAAGUUGAGAAAUUAACUGAAAGAUAACACUUUCCUCCCUGCAUUAAGGUUCAUCACAUAAUGUAUCCAAAUACUGGGUCAGUCUUUCCUUUGGUCUCGUUUCUCUCAGCUAAUUUGAAAAUGCCUUUUCUGUUUUCAUUAGAAUUUUUCUAAAUGUUUCUGGGCACUUGUGUUCCUGAGGCUUUCCAUAGUGCACCCUCUUAUGCAUCUGAUGUCUUUGGCACAUAUAGGCCCUCAACAAGUAUUUGUUAAAUGAACAGAUAACCAUCCUGUCCUUUGUGUGAACAAGCAUAUGCAAGUGUACAUUGUAUCUGUACAUGUAUCCAACAGCAUCCAUCUGAAGCCACUUUGUUCGCUUAUUUUCUCAGGAUGACUGAUGGCUGCAUCAUGACAUUUGCACACAGAAUCUUUUCUUCUCCAGUCACUUUUCCUUUUUCCAGAUUCCCGCCAUAGAAUUCCAGGGACAGAGCCAACCAUGCCUGGCACCCCCUCCUGUCCUGGGACAAUGAUACUUUCUCCCGUGACUCCCAUCUUCCUUCCAACAUUCUUCUGCUAGAAUUCAGUAAGGAAGACAAUGACUUACCACUUUUAAUUUUUUCCCCUUUUUUGCUUUUCUACCAAAUACUGCUUUUAACACAGGCUUUUCACUGAGUAGUGGACAAUCUAUCAGCUAGGUGCUAUUCAGUGUGAGGGGCAUUUGCAAAGGUCUGCAUCAGUGCUGGCUGAUGGAACUUUCUAGUGAUAGCAUCAUUCUGUAGCUGCACUGUCCAGUGCAGAGGCUACUUGCCACUGUGGCUACUGCUCAGGAUGGUGCAGGUCUGAAUAUCUUAGACACAGCGGCCACCGUGUCUACUGCACGGGACUGAAUAUUUUAGACACAGCGGCCACCGUGUCUACUGCACGGGACGGCGAGGGUCUGAAUAUCUUACAGACAGCGGCCACCGUGUCUACUGCACGGGACGGCGAGGGUCUGAAUAUCUCAGACACAGCGGCCACGGUGUCUACUGCACGGGACGGUGCAGGUCUGACUGUCUUAGACACAGCUCACCUUUGAUCCGUGUUAGGAAUUAUCCACAUCUCCUCUCUGGGCAAUAUUCUACUUUCUUUUUAUAUUGACCCAAUUAUUUUACUUCUUUGGUGUGUCCUUUCUCCUCACACACAUGGGUUCACUUUAAAACCUUGAAACCCACAUUUAUAAAACAUUUUCAAUAUGAAACAUCGUUCCAUGACUCAUAUAGUACUCCAUGGAGUACUAUAAACAUUUACAUUUCCAGACCACCCACUGCCCAGUGGUUUUCCUGGUCUCAGUACUCAUGAAAAUGGUCUGAAGGUUUGUUUUGGGUUCCUAAGCAGUAGACACACACACAACACUGCCUGUCAGUUAUUUCUUGGAAACUAAAUCAGCCCUUCUGUUGCCAUCCUAUCAUGCUUCAGGGGUGCCUGUGCUAGUUUUUAAUUCUUUGUCCUAACACUUAAAUGUUUGCUCAAACGCCCAUAUUAAUACUUCCUCUUAGUUUACAAAAGGAUUUACUUUCUUACUGGUUGGGAUGAAGCUGCCUGAGGUUGCCACCUGUUACUUUUCCUUCAUUUAUUGGACCAAGUCAUCCCAUUACAUGUCAGCUGUGGAGGUUUUCAAACUGUGGUCCCUGGACAUGUUAGAAAUGCAAAUUCUCAGGCCGAACCAGGACUGAACCGGAAGAUCUGGGGUAGGGUCCCUCCAGGACUGAAUCGGAAGAUCUGGGGUAGGGUUCCCCCAGGACUGAAUCGGAAGGUCUCGGGUAGGGUCCCUCCAGGUGAUCCUGUUACACAGGUUAGAGAACCACAGCAUUGGGGUGGCAAUUUGACAACUCUUUUUUUUUUUUUGAGACAGAAUCUCGCUCUUGUUGCCCAGGCUGGAGUGCAAUGGCGCACUCUUGGCUCACUGCAACCUCCGCCUCCCGGGUUCAAGCAACUCUCCUGCCUCAGCCUCCUGAGUAACUGGGAUUACAUGCACCCACCAUCAUGCCUGGCUAAUGUUUUGUAUUUUUAGAGAUGGGGUUUCACUAUGUUGGCCAGGCUGGGACAAUUCUUAAACUGUCAUUCUUUACUCACUUAUUUGCAGGAAUUCUUCUGUAAAGAACUUUUCCUAAUCAGCAAGGUUUCCCUGAUUGCAAUUUGUAGACAGAAGGUGGGAUAAUCGCUGAUCUUCCCUCAAGUGUCCACUCCCAGUGUUAGGAGUUAGUGCCCUAGGUACCUCCAAGAGUGACCAAUUACAUGUGUUUGGUUGGUUGGUUUUGGCUUUGAAACCAUCACUAUGAAUUCAUGGUUUUCAUGUAUUAGAGACCAAGUCUAGGUGCUUCAUGUGCCUACUGCUCCUGGGGCAGAGCUAGGAAAUGUGUCUAUGUGAAAGGAACAACAGAGUUAAUGCUUAUAUUUCUAUUUCAAAUUUAGUAUAUGGUUUUACACCUUUUUCUCAGAAAAAUCUUUUUUUAUUUUUUGAGAUGGAGUUUUGUUCCUGUUGCCCAGGCUAGAGUGCAGUGGCACAAUCUAGGCUCACUGCAACCUCCGCCUCCUGGUUCAAGAGAUUCUCCUGCCUCAGCCUCCUGAAUAGCUGGGAUUACAGGCACCUGCCACCAUGCCCAGCUAAUUUUUGAAUUUUAGUAGAGAUGGGGUUUCACCAUGUUGGCAAGGCUGGUCUUAAACUCCUGGCCUCAGGUGAUCUGUCCACCUCGGCCUCCCAAAGUGCUGGGAUUACAGGUGUGAGCCACCGCACCUGGCCAGAAAAAUCUUAGUUUUAGCAUUAACAUAAUUAGUUAUAGUUUUAACUCCCACCCCAGAUAAUUUCAAAGGCUUAAUACCAAUAAGACAAGUAACAAGGAGAUGAUUGAUUGAAAUUUAGGAUUUCAGUGGCUCUAUUUGUCUUUAAACUAUGGCUCACUAAAUCUGCAUACUUGAAGUGCUGCGUUCUGGCGAUGCUCUGAUGACACACGAAGUAAUAGGCUGUGUGACUGUCACCAGCCUGAUGUGCAGUUGGGCUGCAGAACCCUGUGAUGCUGCCUAGCCCAGCCAGCCCCAGGUCACUCCUCAGACUCAAACUUGAUUCUGACACCACCAGCACCCGGGAUGCUGCCUAGGGGCUUUCUCUGGUGGCAGGAGCAUGUCCUGGAUUAGGCCGGGGUGCCCGGAAUUGACCAUCCUGACCCUGUGGAGCGUGGGCUGGUGAAGGAAUGCACCAGCUCCCACAAUGAGCACGGGCCCAGCUGCCCACGUGGGAUCCGGCUCCCAGACACCCUGUGCCCUCACCUCUUUCCUGUCUUACCUCCCGCUUCCCUUCAGCUGCUGCUCAGGGCCACCUUCCAAAUUUUGGUCUCAGGGUUGGCACCUGCAGAAGACAAUCCAAGGAAUUUAGAUUCAUUCAUUUCAGAUACUAUUCUUUCAAUUUUAGGGACUAUCUUAAAACUUAGUUUGGUAAUAUGUAAAACACUUAUAAUUUCAAAGUCCAGAUAUUACUUCAGAGUCUAUUUCAGUCUCACUUCCACCAUUGACCCCUGUCCUCCACAGCAACCACUUUAGUUUUUUAUCUUUGUACUGUUUUAAGAAAAAGCAAAUAUAUAUUUGCAUUAUAUGAUAUGUACUCUGCCCCUUAUCAAUAGGUCUUCCUCAUCCCUCCUUCUGGUACUGAGUUCCCCACUGUACGAAUUAAUGUUCCUAAUCCCCUACUGAUGGACAUUUUGAUUGUUUCCAGUUUUACAAAUGCCACAGUGAAGAACUUGGUUGCAAACAUAUUUAGGCGUGAAAAGAACUCUGUGAGUAAAGUCCUUUCAUUUUUUUGCCAGAGUUUUUUUUGAGGCAGUCUAGAAUUGCUGAGUCAAAGGGCAAAUGCCACAUACUUUUGUUAGAUGCUGCCAAAUCCUCUUCCAUGAGGUUGCAAUGUUCUGCAUUCCACAGUGACGUAUGAGAGUCCUUGUAUCCCACAGCUUCAUAAACAAAGCAUGAUGUCAAACCUGCACAUUUACCAAUCACACAGGUGAGAAAUUUUAUCCUAGUUUCACCUUUGUUUUUGGUUCGCAUUUUUAUGACCAGCUUUUUUAUGGUGUAAUGCACAGAAGAUAAUGAACACACUCUACCCACAAGCUUCUUCCUGUGCCUUUGGAAUCUGCUCCUGCCAGUCUGCAGGGAACCACGGAUCUGCUUUCCGUCACGUAGGAGGCAUUCUCGACACCCUCUGUACACAGUAUGCACUUUUAAAAUUUGGCUUCUCUUACACAGCAUAGUGACUUUCAGAUUUAUUCAAGCUGCUGCGUGCACCAAUAGUCCGCUCCUUCCUAGUGCUGAGGCCCCCAUCACAUGAGCACAACUGUUUCCUGUGUGUGAUGUGUUGUUCUCUGGCUGUGCACUGCCAAAAAAGACAUCAUUAAAAAAAAAAUCUAAAUAUAAUGUAAAACCUGCCUUGUCUUAGGAAAAGUUUUUCUGGCAGUGGCUCACACCUAUAAUCCCAAUACUCUGGGAGGCUGAGGCAGGAGGACUGCUUGAGCCCAGGAGUUUGAGACCAGCCUGGGCAAGAUGGUGAAACCCUGUCUCUGUAAAAAAUAUAAAAAUUAGCCAGGCAUGGUGGCUCACACCUGUAGUCUCAGCUCCUUGGGAGGCUGAGGUGGGAGGAUUGCUGGAGCCCCGGAGGUGGAGGUUGCAGUGAGCCGAGAUCACAGCACUGCACUCCAGCCUGGGCAGCAUGGCAAGACUCUGUCUCUACCAAGAAAAAAAACAAAAAAUUAAUAUAAGGAAAAACAAAAGGUUUUUCUUACCAAAAAUACACUUUAAGGAACAAAUUUAUCAUAUUAAGUUGGUGCAAAAGUAAUCGUGGCUUUUACCAUUGAAAGUAAUGGCAAAAACUGCAAUUACUUUUGCACCAACCUAAUAUUACUUUCUAAUGACAAACUUGGAAAUAAUUGUCAUUGUUCUCUAAAAAGAACAGCCUAAAAAUAAAGCAGCAGCCCAUUUACUUCUAUGCCAGUUCUUUUAGUAUUUGGUUAUUUAAACUGGUGGUCCCUAACCUUGUUGGCACCAGGGACUGGUUUCAUGGAAGACACUUUUUCCACGGACAAGUGUGGGGAUGGUGGGGAUGGUUUGGAGAUGAAACGGUUCCAUCUCAGAUCAUCAGCAUUAGAUUUUCAUAAGCGGCGCAUAACCUAGAUCCUUCGCAUGUGCAGUUCACAACAGGGUUCCACUCCUAUGAGAAUCUAAUGCCACCACUGAUCUGGCAGGAGGCGGAGCUCGCCCAGUAAUGAUAUGACAGGGGGCGGAUCUCACACAGUAAUGCUUGGACAGGAGGCGGAGCUCACACGGUAAUGCUCUGCCGGGAGGCGGAGCUCACACGGUAAUGCUCUGACGGGAGGCGGAGCUCACACGGUAAUGCUCUGUCGGGAGGCGGAGCUCACACGGUAAUGCUGUGACGGGAGGCGGAGCUCACACGGUAAUGCUCUGUCGGGAGGCGGAGCUCACACGGUAAUGCUCUGGCGGGAGGCGGAGCUCACACGGUAAUGCUCUGACGGGAGGCGGAGCUCACACGGUAAUGCUCUGCCGGGAGGCGGAGCUCACACGGUAAUGCUGUGACGGGAGGCGGAGCUCACACGGUAAUGCUGUGACGGGAGGCGGAGCUCACACGGUAAUGCUGUGACGGGAGGCGGAGCUCACACGGUAAUGCUGUGACGGGAGGCGGAGCUCACACGGUAAUGCUGUGACGGGAGGCGGAGCUCACACGGUAAUGCUGUGACGGGAGGCGGAGCUCACACGGUAAUGCUGUGACGGGAGGCGGAGCUCACACGGUAAUGCUCUGACGGGAGGCGGAGCUCACACGGUAAUGCUCUGACGGGAGGGCGGAGCUCACACGGUAAUGCUCUGUCGGGGGGCGGAGCUCACACGGUAAUGCUCUGGCGGGGGGCGGAGCUCACACGGUAAUGCUCUGCCGGGAGGCGGAGCUCACACGGUAAUGCUCUGCCGGGAGGCGGAGCUCACACGGUAAUGCUGUGACGGGAGGCGGAGCUCACACGGUAAUGCUCUGUGGGGAGGCGGAGCUCACACGGUAAUGCUGUGACGGGAGGCGGAGCUCACACGGUAAUGCUCUGGCGGGAGGCGGAGCUCACACGGUAAUGCUCUGACGGGAGGCGGAGCUCACACGGUAAUGCUGUGACGGGAGGCGGAGCUCACACGGUAAUGCUCUGGCGGGAGGCGGAGCUCACACGGUAAUGCUCUGCCGGGAGGCGGAGCUCACACGGUAAUGCUCUGACGGGAGGCGGAGCUCACACGGUAAUGCUCUGCCGGGAGGCGGAGCUCACACGGUAAUGCUCUGCCGGGAGGCGGAGCUCACACGGUAAUGCUCUGCCGGGAGGCGGAGCUCACACGGUAAUGCUCUGCGGGGAGGCGGAGCUCACACGGUAAUGCUGUGACGGGAGGCGGAGCUCACACGGUAAUGCUGUGACGGGAGGCGGAGCUCACACGGUAAUGCUCUGACGGGAGGCGGAGCUCACACGGUAAUGCUGUGACGGGAGGCGGAGCUCACACGGUAAUGCUGUGACGGGAGGCGGAGCUCACACGGUAAUGCUGUGACGGGAGGCGGAGCUCACACGGUAAUGCUCGGACGGGAGGCGGAGCUCACACGGUAAUGCUCUGGCGGGAGGCGGAGCUCACACGGUAAUGCUCUGACGGGAGGCGGAGCUCACACGGUAAUGCUCGGACGGGAGGCGGAGCUCACACGGUAAUGCUGUGGCGGGGGGCGGAGCUCACACGGUAAUGCUCUGGCGGGAGGCGGAGCUCACACGGUAAUGCUCGGACGGGAGGCGGAGCUCACACGGUAAUGCUCUGGCGGGAGGCGGAGCUCACACGGUAAUGCUCUGGCAGGAGGCGGAGCUCACACGGUAAUGCUCUGUCGGGAGGCGGAGCUCACACGGUAAUGCUGUGACGGGAGGCGGAGCUCACACGGUAAUGCUCUGUCGGGAGGCGGAGCUCACACGGUAAUGCUCUGGCGGGAGGCGGAGCUCACACGGUAAUGCUCUGACGGGAGGCGGAGCUCACACGGUAAUGCUCUGACGGGAGGCGGAGCUCACACGGUAAUGCUGUGACGGGAGGCGGAGCUCACACGGUAAUGCUGUGACGGGAGGCGGAGCUCACACGGUAAUGCUGUGACGGGAGGCGGAGCUCACACGGUAAUGCUGUGACGGGAGGCGGAGCUCACACGGUAAUGCUGUGACGGGAGGCGGAGCUCACACGGUAAUGCUCUGGCGGGAGGCGGAGCUCACACGGUAAUGCUCUGUCGGGAGGCGGAGCUCACACGGUAAUGCUCUGGCGGGAGGCGGAGCUCACACGGUAAUGCUCUGACGGGAGGCGGAGCUCACACGGUAAUGCUCUGGCGGGAGGCGGAGCUCACACGGUAAUGCUGUGACGGGAGGCGGAGCUCACACGGUAAUGCUCUGGCGGGAGGCGGAGCUCACACGGUAAUGCUCUGACGGAGGCGGAGCUCACACGGUAAUGCUCUGACGGGAGGCGGAGCUCACACGGUAAUGCUCUGACGGGAGGCGGAGCUCACACGGUAAUGCUCUGACGGGAGGCGGAGCUCACACGGUAAUGCUCUGACGGGAGGCGGAGCUCACACGGUAAUGCUCUGCCGGGAGGCGGAGCUCACACGGUAAUGCUCUGUGGGGAGGCGGAGCUCACACGGUAAUGCUCUGGCGGGAGGCGGAGCUCACACGGUAAUGCUCUGGCGGGAGGCGGAGCUCACACGGUAAUGCUCUGACGGGAGGCGGAGCUCACACGGUAAUGCUGUGACGGGAGGCGGAGCUCACACGGUAAUGCUGUGACGGGAGGCGGAGCUCACACGGUAAUGCUCGGACGGGAGGCGGAGCUCACACGGUAAUGCUCUGGCGGGAGGCGGAGCUCACACGGUAAUGCUCGGACGGGAGGCGGAGCUCACACGGUAAUGCUCGGACGGGAGGCGGAGCUCACACGGUAAUGCUGUGGCGGGGGGCGGAGCUCACACGGUAAUGCUCUGGCGGGAGGCGGAGCUCACACGGUAAUGCUCGGACGGGAGGCGGAGCUCACACGGUAAUGCUCUGGCGGGAGGCGGAGCUCACACGGUAAUGCUGUGACGGGAGGCGGAGCUCACACGGUAAUGCUCUGGCGGGAGGCGGAGCUCACACGGUAAUGCUGUGACAGGAGGCGGAGCUCACACGGUAAUGCUCUGGCAGGAGGCGGAGCUCACACGGUAAUGCUCUGUCGGGAGGCGGAGCUCACACGGUAAUGCUGUGACGGGAGGCGGAGCUCACACGGUAAUGCUGUGGCGGGGGGCGGAGCUCACACGGUAAUGCUCUGGCGGGGGGCGGAGCUCACACGGUAAUGCUCUGGCGGGGGGCGGAGCUCACACGGUAAUGCUCUGGCGGGAGGCGGAGCUCACACGGUAAUGCUGUGACGGGAGGCGGAGCUCACACGGUAAUGCUCGGACGGGAGGCGGAGCUCACACGGUAAUGCUCUGACGGGAGGCGGAGCUCACACGGUAAUGCUGUGACGGGAGGCGGAGCUCACACGGUAAUGCUCGGACGGGAGGCGGAGCUCACACGGUAAUGCUCUGACGGGAGGCGGAGCUCACACGGUAAUGCUGUGGCGGGAGGCGGAGCUCACACGGUAAUGCUCUGGCGGGAGGCGGAGCUCACACGGUAAUGCUGUGACGGGAGGCGGAGCUCACACGGUAAUGCUCGGACGGGAGGCGGAGCUCACACGGUAAUGCUCGGACGGGAGGCGGAGCUCACACGGUAAUGCUCUGGCGGAGGGCGGAGCUCACGGCAAGGCUCUGAGAGGAGAAGGAGCUCACAGUAAUGCUCUGGCAGGGGGCGGAGCUCACACGGUAAUGCUGUGACGGGAGGCGGAGCUCACACGGUAAUGCUGUGGCGGGGGGCGGAGCUCACACGGUAAUGCUCGGACGGGAGGCGGAGCUCACACGGUAAUGCUCUGGCGGGAGGCGGAGCUCACACGGUAAUGCUGUGACAGGAGGCGGAGCUCACACGGUAAUGCUCUGGCGGGAGGCGGAGCUCACACGGUAAUGCUCUGGCAGGAGGCGGAGCUCACACGGUAAUGCUCUGGCGGGGGGCGGAGCUCACGGCAAGGCUCUGAGAGGAGAAGGAGCUCACAGUAAUGCUCUGGCAGGGGGCGGAGCUCACACGGUAAUGCUCUGGCAGGGGGUGGAGCUCACACGGUAAUGCUCUGACAAGAGAUGGAGCUCACAGUAAUGCUCUGACAGGAGGCGGAGCUCAAACGGUAAUGCUCUGGCAGGGGGCGGAGCUCACGGUAAGGCUCUGACAGGAGGAGGAGCUCACACACUAAUGCUCUGACAGGGGGGCGGAGCUCACAGUAAUGCUCUGGCAGGGGGCGGAGCUCACACAGUAAUGCUCUAACGGGGGCGGAGCUCACACGGUAAUGCUGUCGGGAGGCGGAGCUCACAGUAAUGCUAUGGCAGGAGGCGGAGCUCACACAGUAAUGCUCUGGCAGGGGGUGGAGCUCACCCAGUAAUGCUCUGGCAGGGGGUGGAGCUCACAAGGUAAUGCUCUGGCAGGGGCGGAGCUCACACAGUAAUGCUCUGGCAGGGCGCGGAGCUCACACGGUAAUGCUGUCGGGAGGCGGAGCUCACAGUAAUGCUCUGGCAGGGGGUGGAGCUCACCCAGUAAUGCUCUGGCAGGGGGUGGAGCUCACCCAGUAAUGCUCUGGCAGGGGGUGGAGCUCACAAGGUAAUGCUCUGGCAGGGGCGGAGCUCACACAGUAAUGCUCUGGCAGGGCGCGGAGCUCACACAGUAAUGCUCCAACAGGGGGCGGAGCUCACGGUAACGCUCUGACAGGAGGCGGAGCUCACAGAGUAAUGCUCUGGCAGCAGGCGGAGCUCACACGGUAAUGCUCUGACAGGUGGUGUUCACAGAGUAAUGCUCUGGCAGGGGGCGGAGCUCACACAGUAAUGCUCUGACAGGUGGCGGAGUUCACAGUAAUGCUCUGGCAGGGGGUGGAGCUCACACAGUAGCUCACCGGCCCACUGCUCACCUCCUACUGUGCGGCCUGGUUCCUAACAGGCCAUGGACUGGUAACAAUCUGUGGCCUGGGGAUUGGGGACCCCUGAUUUGAAUAAUCAAGGACACACUCACCUAGUAAACCGUCUGCCAAGAAAAAGGAGGAAAUGUUAGUUUUCUCCAUUCGUUCUCAGGCACCAACAUUAAUUUGAACUUAGAAAUAAACUACAAGGCCAGGCAUGGUGGUUUGUUCACACCUAUAAUUCCAGCACCUUGGGAGGCCAAGGAGGGAGGAUCACUUGAGACCAGCCUAGGCAACACAGUGAGACCCUGUCCCUACAAUUACAAAAUAAAUGAGCUGGGCAUGGUGGUGCACACCUGUAGCCCCAACUACUCAGAAGGCUGAGUCAGGAAGAUCACCUGAGCUGCCCAGGAGUUUGAGGCUGCAGUGAGCUGUGAUUGUACUACUGCACCGAUCCUGUCUCAAAAAAAAAAAAGAAAAGAAAAAGAAAAAAGAAACUAUACAAAAUAUCUGGAUUUUGAUGUAACACAAUACAAAGAUUACAUUUGAUUUUUAGGUCAACAAAUAUGACUAAAGUCACAACAGUAAAAUAUUUCAAAUGGAUUUGGAAAUAAAAGAAAGUUUGUUCAUUUAUAUUUUAUUUAAGAGCUGUGCCCAGUUUUAUCAUCUCAC
rnacentral:lncRNA from 10 species